rnacentral:rRNA from 1 species
GGAUCAUUACACAAAUAUGAAGGCGGGCUGGAAUCUCUCGGGGUUACAGCCUUGCUGAAUUAUUCACCCUUGUCUUUUGCGUACUUCUUGUUUCCUUGGUGGGUUCGCCCACCACUAGGACAAACAUAAACCUUUUGUAAUUGCAAUCAGCGUCAGUAACAAAUUAAUAAUUACAACUUUCAACAACGGAUCUCUUGGUUCUGGCAUCGAUGAAGAACGCAGCGAAAUGCGAUAAGUAGUGUGAAUUGCAGAAUUCAGUGAAUCAUCGAAUCUUUGAACGCACAUUGCGCCCUUUGGUAUUCCAAAGGGCAUGCCUGUUCGAGCGUCAUUUGUACCCUCAAGCUUUGCUUGGUGUUGGGCGUCUUGUCUCUAGCUUUGCUGGAGACUCGCCUUAAAGUAAUUGGCAGCCGGCCUACUGGUUUCGGAGCGCAGCACAAGUCGCACUCUCUAUCAGCAAAGGUCUAGCAUCCAUUAAGCCUUUUUUUCAACUUUUGACCUCGGAUCAGGUAGGGAUACCCGCUGAACUUAAGCAUAUCAAUAAGCGGAGGAAAAGAAACCAACAGGGAUUGCCCUAGUAACGGCGAGUGAAGCGGCAACAGCUCAAAUUUGAAAUCUGGCUCUUUUAGAGUCCGAGUUGUAAUUUGCAGAGGGCGCUUUGGCUUUGGCAGCGGUCCAAGUUCCUUGGAACAGGACGUCACAGAGGGUGAGAAUCCCGUACGUGGUCGCUGGCUAUUGCCGUGUAAAGCCCCUUCGACGAGUCGAGUUGUUUGGGAAUGCAGCUCUAAAUGGGAGGUACAUUUCUUCUAAAGCUAAAUAUUGGCCAGAGACCGAUAGCGCACAAGUAGAGUGAUCGAAAGAUGAAAAGCACUUUGGAAAGAGAGUCAAACAGCACGUGAAAUUGUUGAAAGGGAAGCGCUUGCAGCCAGACUUGCUUACAGUUGCUCAUCCGGGUUUUUACCCGGUGCACUCUUCUGUAGGCAGGCCAGCAUCAGUUUGGGCGGUAGGAUAAAGGUCUCUGUCACGUACCUCCUUUCGGGGAGGCCUUAUAGGGGAGACGACAUACUACCAGCCUGG